rnacentral:rRNA from 1 species
GACGAACGCUGGCGGCGUGCCUAAUACAUGCAAGUAGAACGCUGAAGAGAGGAGCUUGCUCUUCUUGGAUGAGUUGCGAACGGGUGAGUAACGCGUAGGUAACCUGCCUUGUAGCGGGGGAUAACUAUUGGAAACGAUAGCUAAUACCGCAUAACAAUGGAUGACACAUGUCAUUUAUUUGAAAGGGGCAAUUGUUCCACUACAAGAUGGACCUGCGUUGUAUUAGCUAGUAGGUGAGGUAAUGGCUCACCUAGGCGACGAUACAUAGCCGGCCUGAGAGGGUGGUCGGCCACACUGGGACUGAGACACGGCCCAGACUCCUACGGGAGGCAGCAGUAGGGAAUCUUCGGCAAUGGGGGCAACCCUGACCGAGCAACGCCGCGUGAGUGAAGAAGGUUGUCGGAUCGUAAAGCUCUGUUGUAAGUCAAGAACGGGUGUGAGAGUGGAAAGUUCACACUGUGACGGUAGCUUACCAGAAAGGGACGGCUAACUACGUG